rnacentral:rRNA from 1 species
CAGUCGCCGCGGUAAUACGAAGGGUGCAAGCGUUACUCGGAAUUACUGGGCGUAAAGCGUGCGUAGGUGGUGGUUUAAGUCCGUUGUGAAAGCCCUGGGCUCAACCUGGGAAUUGCAGUGGAUACUGGGCGACUAGAGUGCGGUAGAGGAUAGUGGAAUUUCCGGUGUAGCAGUGAAAUGCGUAGAGAUCGGAAGGAACAUCUGUGGCGAAGGCAACUAUCUGGGCCAACACUGACACUGAGACACGAAAGCGUGGGGAGCAAACAGGAUUAGAUACCCCAGUAGUCCCUGUCUCUUAUAC